rnacentral:tRNA from 1 species
GGGCGCUUAGCUCAGUUGGUUAGAGCAUCACAUCGACAUUGUGAGGGUCACAGGUUCAAGUCCUGUAGCGCCCA